AGAAGAAGUUGGAUUUAUACCCCGCCCUUCACUACCUGAAGGAGUCUCAGAGCUGCUUACAAUCUCCUUUCUCUUCCCCUCCCCACAACAGACACCCUGUGAGGUAGGUGGGGCUGAGAGAGCUCUGACAGAAACUGUUCUUGAGAGAACAGCUCUGAGAGAACUUGUGACUGACCCAAGGCCAUUCCAGCAGCUGCAGGUGGAGGAGUGGGGAAUCAAACCCAGUUCUCCCAGAUUAGGGUCCACACACUUAACCACUACACCAAACUGGCUCU